ensembl:miRNA Mir7224 microRNA 7224
GGGUAGGCCCCUCAGUGAAGAUUUCAGGACACUUAGAUCUCCACUGAGAGGACCACCCAC